UAUAAUACAUAUAUGAUUUCUAGAUAUUAUGUAUGAUUUCUGUCUAGGUGAUCUUUGUUCUUUAUGACUUCUUUUCACAAGAGGCAACGAUAAACCUGCUUUGUCAAUACGUGCAUAGACCUUCAGUAGUUCUGAGGCUGAUUGUAACUGGUAUUUUAAUAGGCAAAUAAAAACUUCUGCUUUACAUAAAUUGCUCUAUAAACUGGGAGCUGAGGAUUGUGAGGAGGGCGAAAAGGCCAUGGUGCCCUCUCUACCGCUGCACAAACCCAGAUUGUGUGUGGUUGGGAUCCCUUGGUAGCCCAACCAGAUAAGAGUCAUGAAUUGAUUCCACAUUAGCAUGCAGCAGGCAUGGGAAAAUGAUAAACUCCUAUUACCACUGUCAUGGCAACUGAAAAAAUGGCUGCUUUGGGGGGAACAAGGUCCACAGGAGAAGAAAAGCGAAGCCCCGUCUCUUUCUUCUGUUUGACACCUGUGUCAGUCACUCUCAUACUCAGCAGAAAUAUCCAAUAAGCUUUCGGAGGUCCAGGAAUGGGUCUCAAAGGAGCUUUCAAAGGGUCUCAAAGAUCUCAAAGUUUCUCUCAAAGGAGGAUUGAGGUGUAGAUGCUCACACAAAAAUUCUGUUCGGCAAAUUUCCAUAUGAUCCAAACAUAUCACUUGAAGCAAAUCAGUUCCAUGUGGCUGGGCAGGCCUCACAAUCAUGGCAGAAGGCAAAGGAGAAGCAAAGGCACAUCAUACAUGGUGGCAGGAAAGAGAGCUUGUGUAUGGGAACUCCCAUUUAUAAAACCAUGAGAUCUCGUGAGACUUAUUCACUAUCAUGAGAACAGUAUGGGGGAAAUCGCUGAUUCAGUUAUCUCCACCUGGCCCUGCUUUUGACACGUGGGGAUUGUUACAAUUCAAGGUGAGAUCUGGGGACACAGCCAAACCAUAUCACACAAUCAUGGCUCACUGCAGCCUUGAACUCCUGGGCUUAAGUGAUCCUCCCACCUCAGCCUCCCAGGUAGCUAGGACUACAGGCACACACCAUCAUGCCCGGCUAAUGUUUUGUAUUUUUUGUAGAGACAGGAUCUCACUAUGUUGCCCAGGCUGGUCUUGAAUUCCUGGACUCAAGCAAUCCUCCCAUCUAGGCCUCCCAAAGUGUUGAGAUUACAGGCAUGAGCCACUGUGCCUGGUCCACAUCUUCUUUCACAUCUUUUUCAUUCAGUGCUGAACUCCAAACCACAAACUUUGCACCUGCUGUUCUUUCUUUCUGGAACAGUCUUCCCCCAGGUAUCUGUAG
rnacentral:lncRNA from 1 species